rnacentral:rRNA from 1 species
UACAGAGACUGCAAGCGUUAUUCGGAUUCACUGGGCGUAAAGGGUGCGCAGGCGGCCGUGUGUGUGAGGCGUGAAAGCCCGGGGCUUAACCCCGGAAUUGCACCUCAAACUACACGGGCUAGAGCAUUGGGAGAGGGUAGCAGAAUUCACGGUGUAGCAGUGAAAUGCGUAGAUAUCGUGAGGAAUACCAGAGGCGAAGGCGGCUACCUGGACAAUUGCUGACGCUCAGGCACGAAAGCGUGGGGGAGCAAACAGG